AAGAAAGAAAAAAUAAGUGACAAGUAACAAACAUGAGAAAGGUGAAACUUGCUGGGAUCGGGAAUCGAAAGAUCCGAAAGCCAGUCUUUAGAGGAUUCUGAACGGGCUAGUGAAAGUAAACUUGUGAUGUGACCAUAUUGUGCAAUAUGAAUGUAAGUUGGUGGUGUGGUCAUCUCACAAGGUGGCUAAGUCAUCUCACUUAUUUUCUUAACGAAAGCAUCAGCCCGUUUAGCAUCAUCUUCUUGAAGCUUGCCUUUCGCAUCUUUUGAUUCCCAAUCCAAGCAAGGUUCACCUUUUUUUUUGCCAUGACCUUUACAAAAUAUCCAAAUUUUG